AGUGAACGCUGGCGGUAGGCCUAACACAUGCAAGUCGAACGGCAGCACCGUAAGAGCUUGCUCUUACGGGUGGCGAGUGGCGGACGGGUGAGGAAUACAUCGGAAUCUACUUUUUCGUGGGGGAUAACGUAGGGAAACUUACGCUAAUACAGCAUACGACCUACGGGUGAAAGCAGGGGAUCUUCGGACCUUGCGCGAUUGAAUGAGCCGAUGUCGGAUUAGCUCGUUGGCGGGGUAAAGGCCCACCAAGGCGACGAUCCGUAGCUGGUCUGAGAGGAUGGUCAGCGACACUGGAACUGAGACACGGUCCAGACUCCUACGGGAGGCAGCAGUGGGGAAUAGUGGACAAUGGGCGCAAGCCUGAUCCAGCCAUACCGCGUGGGUGAAGAAGGCCUUCGGGUUGUAAAGCCCUUUUGUUGGGAAAGAAAGGCAGCAGGUUAAUACCCCGCGGUUCUGACGGUACCCAAAGAAUAAGCACCGGCUAACUACGUG
rnacentral:rRNA from 1 species